GUUUUAUAGUGUAAUUUUAGUCACUUUACAAGACAAAAUAGAAGUCGUUGCAACUUGAUGUACACCGUGACUAGACAGGAAAUGGAGAUUAACUUAAAUUCUCUCAGUAGAUUACUCGCUAGUAGACCACAGAGAGAAGUUUUAAGAAAUUUGAGGAAUGAAACUAAAAUUGUUGAUAGCAACUCAUUUUCCUUUUCUUCAUCAAGGAGCAUCUUUAUAGAUCAUUGCUCGAAUUCUACUGUUGAAGUAAAAUGCAAAGUGUCAACCAUCUCUCUUUCAAAUUGUACAAGCCUAAAGCUUCUGAUGAACGAUAUAAUAACUGGCUUGAUGCCAUGAAAUGUACUGGACUAGAUAUUAUUUCUUAUGGCAAUUGCAAUGCCUUUACGUUGGACUCUGUAAGUCAGUCGGAAAUAAUAUUUAAAGGAGAAUUUAACUAUAGUUCUCCUCAUCACGAAGUUCCUUGGACUAUUUACACUUCUUUAGUUAAUAAAUAUUUUUUUAAUUU